rnacentral:rRNA from 1 species
UGGUUGAUCCUGCCAGUAGUCAUAUGCUUGUCUUAAAGGUUAAGCCAUGCAUGUGUAGGUAUAAGCUGUCCAAUGGUAAAACUGCAAAUGGCUCAUUAAAACAGUUAUUGUUCACUUGAUGGUUGUCUCUAUAUGGAUAACUGUAGUAAUUCUAGAGCUAAUACAUGCGAAACUUCCUUCGGGAAGGCGUUUAUUAGUUACAAAACCAAUUCAGGCAUCGCCUGAAAUGCGAGUGACUAAAUGUAAAUUGUGGACCGUAUGGCUCUGCCGACGGUACAUCAUUCAAGUUUCUGACCUAUCAGCUUUCGACGGUAGGGUAUUGGCCUACUGUGGCAAUGACGGGUAACGGAGAAUUAGGGUUUGACUCCGGAGAGGGAGCCUUAGAAACGGCUACCACAUCUAAGGAAGGCAGCAGGCGCGCAAAUUACCCAAUCCUGACAUAGGGAGGUAGUGACAAGAAGUAACAAUACGGGGCAACAUGUCUUGUAAUUGGAAUGAGUUUAUCUUAAAACCAUUUAUGAGUAUCAAUUGGAGGGCAAGUCUGGUGCCAGCAGCCGCGGUAAUUCCAGCUCCAAUAGCGUAUAUUAAAGUUGUUGCGGUUAAAAAGCUCGUAGUUGGAUUUCUACUGCAGAGAACCGGCGCCUCCGGGUUGUUUGGUUGGACUGCGGUUUUUCUUGGUGAACGUGAUGGCGCUUGAUUGUGCUGCGCGGACUCCAGGCCUUUUACUUUGAGGAAAUUAGAGUGUUUCAAGCAGACAUCUGUCUUGUAUACAUUAGCAUGGAAUAAUAGGAUAGGACUUUGGUUCUAUUUUAUUGGUUUUAGGAACCAUAGUAAUGAUUAAUAGAACUAGUCGGGGGCAUUCGUAUUUAACAGUCAGAGGUGGAAUUCUUGGAUUUGUUAAAGACGAACUACUGCGAAAGCAUUUGCCAAGAAUGUUUUUAUUGAUCAAGAACGAAAGUUAGGGGAUCGAAGACGAUUAGAUACCGUCCUAGUCUUAACCAUAAACCAUGCCGACUAGAGAUUGGAUAUCGUUGUUAUGAUAUUUUCAGUAGCUCGUGAGAAAUCAAAGUCUAUGGGUUCCGGGGGGAGUAUGGUCGCAAGGCUGAAACUUAAAGGAAUUGACGGAUGGGCACCACCAGGAGUGGAGCCUGCGGCUUAAUUUGACUCAACACGGGAAAACUCACAGGUCCAGACAUAGAGAGGAUUGACAGAUUGAUAGCCCUUUCUUGAUACUAUGGGUGGUGGUGCAUGGCCGUUCUUAGUUGGUGGAGUGAUUUGUCUGGUUAAUUCCGAUAACGAACGAGACCUUAACCUGCUAAAUAGCUAACGAAACUCUGUUUCUGAAGGCUUCUUAGAGGGACAAUGUGUGUUUUAACACAAGGAAGUUUGAGGCAAUAACAGGUCUGUGAUGCCCUUAGAUGUUCUGGGCUGCACGCGCGCUACACUGACACACUCAGCGAGUUGUCCUGCCUCGUUAGUGCUGGGUAAUCUUGUUAAAGUGUGUCGUGAUGGGGAUAGAUUAUUGCAAUUAUUAAUCUUGAACGAGGAAUUCCUAGUAAGUGCAGUUCAUCAGACUGCGCUGAUUACGUCCCUGCCCAUUGUACACACCGCCCGUCGCUCCUACCGAUUGGGUGAUCCGGUGAAUACUUUGGACUACAGC